rnacentral:tRNA from 2 species
GUUUCGUUGGUGCAGUGGUAGCAUGCCCUCUUAGGGUUCUGUUCACAGAGCUUUGGGGGUGGUCCUCGGUUCAAUCCCGGGACGAGACC